AGGUAAGCUACUAAGAGCGAAUGGUGGAUGCCUUGACUGGUAGAGGCGAUGAAGGACGUACUAGACUGCGAUAAGCUAGGUGGAGCUGUCAAGAAGCUUUGAUGCCUAGAUUUCCGAAUGGGGCAACCCAGUAUAUAGAGAUAUAUACUACCAUAAUGGAGCGAACGAGGGGAAUUGAAACAUCUUAGUACCCUCAGGAAAAGAAAUCAAACGAGAUUGCGUCAGUAGCGGCGAGCGAAAGCGUAAGAGGGCAAACCCAGUGCUUGCACUGGGGGUUGUAGGACUGCAAUGUGCAAGAGGAAAGGUUAGCAGAACACUCUGGAAAGUGUAGCCAUAGAGGGUGAUAGUCCCGUAUGCAAAAACCUAACCUUAGCUAGCAGUAUCCUGAGUAGGGCGGGACACGAGAAAUCCUGUCUGAAGCUGGGUAGACCACUAUCCAACCCUAAAUACUACUACCAGAUCGAUAGCGAACAAGUACCGUGAGGGAAAGGUGAAAAGAACGGCGGUGAGCCGAGUGAAAUAGAACCUGAAACCAUUUGCUUACAAUCAUUCAGAGCACUAUGUAGCAAUACAGUGUGAUGGACUGCCUUUUGCAUAAUGAGCCUGCGAGUUGUGGUGUCUGGCAAGGUUAAGCUAACGCGAAGCCGUAGCGAAAGCGAGUCUGAAUAGGGCGCUAAGUCAGAUGCUGCAGACCCGAAACGAAGUGAUCUAUCCAUGAGCAGGUUGAAGCUAGUGUAAGAACUAGUGGAGGACCGAACCCGCUAGCGUUGAAAAGCUAUGGGAUGACUUGUGGAUAGGGGUGAAAGGCCAAUCAAACUUCGUGAUAGCUGGUUCUCUCCGAAAUAUAUUUAGGUAUAGCGUUGUGUCGUAACUAAAGGGGGUAGAGCACUGAAUGGGCUAGGGCAUACACCAAUGUACCAAACCCUAUCAAACUCCGAAUACCUUUAGUGUAAUCACAGCAGUCAGGCGGCGAGUGAUAAAAUCCGUCGUCAAGAGGGAAACAACCCAGACUAACAGCUAAGGUCCCCAAAUCUUACUUAAGUGGAAAACGAUGUGAAGUUACUUAAACAACCAGGAGGUUGGCUUAGAAGCAGCCAUCCUUUAAAGAAAGCGUAAUAGCUCACUGGUCUAGUGAUUUUGCGCGGAAAAUAUAACGGGGCUAAAGUAAGUACCGAAGCUUUAGACUUGCACACAACUUAGAUGAUUUAAAUUUGGAAUAUGAGAAGCUAAAUUUAUUUUUAUUUAUUUUUGCUUAUCUUUAUUCAUUUUUAUAGAGUAAAGAUAAAAACAAAAACUUCGUAAAAAUAAUAAAAUUUAGUAAAAAACAAUAAAAAUAUUCUUAGAUUAAAAGUUAAGUCGUUUAAGUUGUGUGCAAUGUGGUAGGAGAGCGUUCUAUUUGCGUCGAAGGUAUACCGACAAGGAGUGCUGGAGCGAAUAGAAGUGAGCAUGCAGGCAUGAGUAGCGAUAAUUAAUGUGAGAAUCAUUAACGCCGUAAACCCAAGGUUUCCUACGCGAUGCUCGUCAUCGUAGGGUUAGUCGGGUCCUAAGCUGAGUCCGAAAGGGGUAAGCGAUGGCAAAUAGGUUAAUAUUCCUAUACCAACAUUAGUGUGCGAUGGAAGGACGCUUAGGGCUAAGGGGGCUAGCGGAUGGAAGUGCUAGUCUAAGGUCGUAGGAGGUUAUACAGGCAAAUCCGUAUAACAAUACUCCGAGAACUGAAAGGCUUUUUGAAGUCUUCGGAUGGAAAGAAGAACCCCUGAUGCCGUCGAGCCAAGAAAAGUUUCUAAGUUUAGCUAAUGUUGCCCGUACCGUAAACCGACACAGGUGGGUGGGAUGAGUAUUCUAAGGCGCGUGGAAGAACUCUCUUUAAGGAACUCUGCAAAAUAGCACCGUAUCUUCGGUAUAAGGUGUGCCUCCCUUUGUAUUAGAAUUCACUUCGAAAGCAAAGAAG
rnacentral:rRNA from 1 species